rnacentral:rRNA from 1 species
GGGUUGUGAGGUUAAGCGACUAAGCGUACACGGUGGAUGCCCUGGCAGUCAGAGGCGAUGAAGGACGUGCUAAUCUGCGAUAAGCGUCGGUAAGGUGAUAUGAACCGUUAUAACCGGCGAUUUCCGAAUGGGGAAACCCAGUGUGAUUCGUCACACUAUCAUUAACUGAAUCCAUAGGUUAAUGAGGCGAACCGGGGGAACUGAAACAUCUAAGUACCCCGAGGAAAAGAAAUCAACCGAGAUUCCCCCAGUAGCGGCGAGCGAACGGGGAGCAGCCCAGAGCCUGAAUCAGUGUGUGUGUUAGUGGAAGCGUCUGGAAAGGCGCGCGAUACAGGGUGACAGCCCCGUACACAAAAAUGCACAUGCUGUGAGCUCGAUGAGUAGGGCGGGACACGUGGUAUCCUGUCUGAAUAUGGGGGGACCAUCCUCCAAGGCUAAAUACUCCUGACUGACCGAUAGUGAACCAGUACCGUGAGGGAAAGGCGAAAAGAACCCCGGCGAGGGGAGUGAAAAAGAACCUGAAACCGUGUACGUACAAGCAGUGGGAGCACAGAGCAAUCUGUGUGACUGCGUACCUUUUGUAUAAUGGGUCAGCGACUUAUAUUCUGUAGCAAGGUUAACCGAAUAGGGGAGCCGAAGGGAAACCGAGUCUUAACUGGGCGUUAAGUUGCAGGGUAUAGACCCGAAACCCGGUGAUCUAGCCAUGGGCAGGUUGAAGGUUGGGUAACACUAACUGGAGGACCGAACCGACUAAUGUUGAAAAAUUAGCGGAUGACUUGUGGCUGGGGGUGAAAGGCCAAUCAAACCGGGAGAUAGCUGGUUCUCCCCGAAAGCUAUUUAGGUAGCGCCUCGUGAAUUCAUCUCCGGGGGUAGAGCACUGUUUCGGCAAGGGGGUCAUCCCGACUUACCAACCCGAUGCAAACUGCGAAUACCGGAGAAUGUUAUCACGGGAGACACACGGCGGGUGCUAACGUCCGUCGUGAAGAGGGAAACAACCCAGACCGCCAGCUAAGGUCCCAAAGUCAUGGUUAAGUGGGAAACGAUGUGGGAAGGCCCAGACAGCCAGGAUGUUGGCUUAGAAGCAGCCAUCAUUUAAAGAAAGCGUAAUAGCUCACUGGUCGAGUCGGCCUGCGCGGAAGAUGUAACGGGGCUAAACCAUGCACCGAAGCUGCGGCAGCGACGCUGAUGCGUUGUUGGGUAGGGGAGCGUUCUGUAAGCCUGUGAAGGUGUGCUGUGAGGCAUGCUGGAGGUAUCAGAAGUGCGAAUGCUGACAUAAGUAACGAUAAAGCGGGUGAAAAGCCCGCUCGCCGGAAGACCAAGGGUUCCUGUCCAACGUUAAUCGGGGCAGGGUGAGUCGACCCCUAAGGCGAGGCCGAAAGGCGUAGUCGAUGGGAAACAGGUUAAUAUUCCUGUACUUGGUGUUACUGCGAAGGGGGGACGGAGAAGGCUAUGUUGGCCGGGCGACGGUUGUCCCGGUUUAAGCGUGUAGGCUGGUUUUCCAGGCAAAUCCGGAAAAUCAAGGCUGAGGCGUGAUGACGAGGCACUACGGUGCUGAAGCAACAAAUGCCCUGCUUCCAGGAAAAGCCUCUAAGCAUCAGGUAACAUCAAAUCGUACCCCAAACCGACACAGGUGGUCAGGUAGAGAAUACCAAGGCGCUUGAGAGAACUCGGGUGAAGGAACUAGGCAAAAUGGUGCCGUAACUUCGGGAGAAGGCACGCUGAUAUGUAGGUGAAGUCCCUCGCGGAUGGAGCUGAAAUCAGUCGAAGAUACCAGCUGGCUGCAACUGUUUAUUAAAAACACAGCACUGUGCAAACACGAAAGUGGACGUAUACGGUGUGACGCCUGCCCGGUGCCGGAAGGUUAAUUGAUGGGGUCAGCGCAAGCGAAGCUCUUGAUCGAAGCCCCGGUAAACGGCGGCCGUAACUAUAACGGUCCUAAGGUAGCGAAAUUCCUUGUCGGGUAAGUUCCGACCUGCACGAAUGGCGUAAUGAUGGCCAGGCUGUCUCCACCCGAGACUCAGUGAAAUUGAACUCGCUGUGAAGAUGCAGUGUACCCGCGGCAAGACGGAAAGACCCCGUGAACCUUUACUAUAGCUUGACACUGAACAUUGAGCCUUGAUGUGUAGGAUAGGUGGGAGGCUUUGAAGUGUGG